UGGUAACCGAACCUGAAAGUCCCUUUUAGAAAAAAAGUAACUAUUCUGGAUAUGCUUUUCACCUAGAGAAAACACCAAUAAUGAUCCAUGGUGAGCAACUUCUUUUCCUUCUAUGGCAAAAAAUUUUAGAUGUAUUGAUGUCACAAGACCAAAGUCAAGGUACCAACAGGGCCAAGUUUAUUUAUGGAGGCUCUACAGGAGAAUCUACUUCCAAGCUCAUGCAUUUUGUUUUUUUGUUCUGGCAAGAUAUGAAGACAAUGAAGAAGCACUCCUUGCCAUCAGGUUGCUUUCAGUCUACAUCAUGGCAUACAGAAAAAAUAUAUGCUUUAUGGAGU
rnacentral:lncRNA from 1 species